GGGGAAUAUUGCACAAUGGGCGGAAGCCUGAUGCAGCAACGCCGCGUGGGUGAUGAAGGUUUUCGGAUUGUAAAGCCCUGUCUUUUGGGACGAUAAUGACGGUACCAAAGGAGGAAGCCACGGCUAACUACGUGCCAGCAGCCGCGGUAAUACGUAGGUGGCGAGCGUUGUCCGGAUUUACUGGGCGUAAAGGGUGCGUAGGCGGAUAUUUAAGUGGGAUGUGAAAACCCCGGGCUUAACCCGGGGACUGCAUUUCAAACUGGAUAUCUGGAGUGCAGGAGAGGAAAGCGGAAUUCCUAGUGUAGCGGUGAAAUGCGUAGAGAUUAGGAAGAACACCAGUGGCGAAGGCGGCUUUCUGGACUGAAACUGACGUUGAGGCACGAAAGUGUGGGGAGCAAAC
rnacentral:rRNA from 1 species